GCAACCAAGGGAGUGAACUGACUGCCAGAUAUCUGGCCCACCUGGCAUGGGGUGGGGCGAGGAGUUAAUUAAGGGCCUGUGGGAACCGCACCUAUGAACCCUCCAAUAUUCCUGCUUCCUAGGGUGUGAAUGAUGACGGAGCUUGCCUACCUCAGGGUGGAGUCUGCCCUUCUGAUCCUGGUUCGUUUUCUGCCUCCAAGAAGCCUUCUUCCCACCUUGGCAGGAGGAAGUCAGACCAAUCUUAGGAGACAGGGCGGGUUUCUGCAUCUGCCCCAGAACAACUUCCAGUAACCGAAGACACUGAUGAUCAAAUGGUACAUGUGGGCAGUUACAGAUUUUUGCAAAAGGAAGGCUACAUAAAUUUAAGGUAUCGCUUGUUUAUUUCAUAUCCUGAAUUAACUUUCCACCUUCUCAGUCCAAAGUUGUAAUAAAAGGCUUCACUAGAGAGCAAAUGAGUUUGUGAAUCUCAUCCAAACUCCCAGAGCUUUUUCUCUGAAGACUUGUAAGUUCCUAAGAUACUCUAAAAGGGAUAUAAAAGUACUAAGUUUAAGUCUUGUGAGUUCCAACUGCACACUGGUUUCAGAGAGUAAUAACCUCGCUUCACGUUUGCAGGAAGCUUUCCAUCUGAGUGUUACCAGAACUUGGCUGACGUUAGGCAC
rnacentral:lncRNA from 1 species